UACAGAGGUCUCAAGCGUUGUUCGGAUUCAUUGGGCGUAAAGGGUGCGUAGGUGGCGCCGUAAGUCAGGUGUGAAAUUUCGGAGCUUAACUCCGAAACUGCAUUUGAUACUGCGGUGCUUUGAGGACUGGGAGAGGAGACUGGAAUUCACGGUGUAGCAGUGAAAUGCGUAGAUAUCGUGAGGAAGACCAGUGGCGAAGGCGGGUCUCUGGACAGUUCCUGACACUGAGGCACGAAGGCUAGGGGAGCAAACGGG
rnacentral:rRNA from 1 species